UGGCCGAGUGGUAAAGCGAUCGGCUUUCAACCAAGAGGUUCUGGGUUCGAAUCUCAG
rnacentral:tRNA from 1 species